GAGUUUGAUCGUGGCUCAGAACGAACGCUGGCGGCAGGCUUAACACAUGCAAGUCGAGCGCUCGCAGCAAUGCGGGAGCGGCAGACGGGGUGAGUAACGCGUGGGAACAUACCCUCCGGUUCGGAAUAACGCAGGGAAACUUGUGCUAAUACCGGAUACGGUCGAGAGGCGAAAGAUUUAUCGCCGGAGGAUUGGCCCGCGUUCGAUUAGCUAGUUGGUGGGGUAAUGGCCCACCAAGGCGACGAUCGAUAGCUGGUCUGAGAGGAUGAUCAGCCACAUUGGGACUGAGACACGGCCCAAACUCCUACGGGAGGCAGCAGUGGGGAAUAUUGGACAAUGGGCGCAAGCCUGAUCCAGCCAUGCCGCGUGAGUGAUGACGGCCUUAGGGUUGUAAAGCUCUUUCGCUAGGGACGAUAAUGACGGUACCUAGACAAGAAGCCCGGCUAACUUCGUGCCAGCCGCCGCAGUAAC
rnacentral:rRNA from 1 species